rnacentral:other from 1 species
AACAGCCUGGAAUGUUCGACAAACCUUGGCGUUUGAACCUACAAUACUUUAAACGGGAUUCCUAUAUUGAUAGAUGGAUGCCGGGCCGUCACUGCUGCAUGCGCAGUAUUAUUUAUAACAACGGAAGGCAGAUAUCUAUUUGCGGUUGCCCACCUAGCAUAUGCUAGGAGUCAAAAACCAGGGAACGGCAUUUUGGGUAUAU